rnacentral:rRNA from 1 species
AACCUUUGCCAUGCGCGAAAGCGUGACAGGGGAAUUCCGAGUGGUAGGGGGGUUUACCUCCCUAUCUUUUGGCCAAUCCAAACAAUUGGCAGAAUAAGAUCUGGGUAAGACCAGUGCCAGCCGCCGCGGUAAUACUGGCAGAGCAAGUGGUAUCCACGAAUAUUGGGUCUAAAGAGUCCGUAGCGGGCCUGUUAAGUCCACUGUGAAAUCUGGCGGCUCAACCGUCAGGCGUGCAGUGGAUACUGGCAGGCUUGGGAGUGGGGGAGGUCGGGAGUACUCACGGGGUAACGGUAAAAUGUUGUAAUCCUGUGAGGACUACCAGUGGCGAAGGCGCCCGACCAAAACACGUCCGACCGUGAGGGACGAAGGCUAGGAGAACGAAUCGGAUUAGAUACCCGAGUAGCCCUAGCAGUAAAUUAUGCAGACUGUGGUGUUGCGUCGACUUCGAGUCGGCGCAGUGCUGUAGCGUAGGUGUUAAGUCUGCCACCUGGGGAGUACGGCCGCAAGGUUGAAACUUAAAGGAAUUGGCGGGGGAGCAC